GUUUGAAUGUGCACGCUCCACUCGGGAGCUGACGGCGGGGGAAGAGAGGUCACCAGUGCUGAGGGAGCCCGGCGCUGGAUUAAGGUAAGUGGCUGAAGGGGUUUUUACCCCUUUGGCGCCGAGGGAGGGGGACCCCGAGGGAGGAGGGCACUCCAAGAGCCCAUAGUGCCAGGAAAACAGGUUUGUUUUCCUGGCACUAUUGGAUCCCUUUAAGGAUCAGUGGGAGUUUAGAGACUGUCGUGGGCCUAUAGCAGGGUGGGAGUUUGGAGAAGGUUGUUGAUCAGUGGGAGGGUGGGAGUUUUAUUACACUAAGAUCAGUGGCAGGGUGGGAGUUUAGAGAAGGUACAGGGUGAGUAGUGGGGUGAAAGUUUGGAGAAGUUUGAAAGUGAUUGGGAGGGUGGGAGCUUGGAGAUCGUUGAAGGUCAGUGGGAGUUGUGGAGUUUAGAAAUGUAUCAAGGUGAGUGGGAGGGUGAGAGUUUAGAGAAGGUUGAGGGUGAGCAUGGUAGUUUAAAGAAGGUUGAGGGUGAGUGGGAGGGUGGGAGUUUGGAGAAGGUUGAGCAUAAGUGGGAGGGUGGGAAUGUCACAGACUCUGGAACCAGACACACUGACAGAACACAGACACAG